CCUACGGGAGGCAGCAGUGGGGAAUAUUGGGCAAUGGGCGCAAGCCUGACCCAGCAACGUCGCGUGAAGGAAGAAUGCCCUCGGGUUUUUAACCUUUUUUGUCAGGGACGAAGAAAGUGACGGUACUUGCCGUAUAAGCCACGCCUAACUACGUGCCAGCAGCAGCGGUAAUACGUAGGUCGCAAGCUUUAUCCGGAUUUAAUGGGUGUAAAGGGCGUGUAGGCGGGAAUGCAAGUCAGAUGUGAAAUUCCAGGGCUCAACCCUGGAACUGCAAUUGAAACUGUAGGUCUUGAGUGAUGGAGAGGCAGGCGGAAUUCGGGGUGUAGCGGUGAAAUGCGUAGAUAUACGGAAGAACACCGGUGGCGAAGGCAGCCUACUGGACAUUAACUGACGCUGAUGCGCGAAAGCGUGGGGAUCAAACAGGAUUAGAUACCCGGGUAGUC
rnacentral:rRNA from 1 species